rnacentral:tRNA from 1 species
GCCACCUUGGCUCAAUGGUAGAGCGACGGUAUCGUAAACCGUAGGUUGUGGGUUCGAUUCCCACAGGUGGCU